GGAGGUGAUAUGAUCCUAGACUAGUCUCUCAAAGCACUUCAUGAUGACAGAAGUGAGUGCUAUGGGGCGGUAGUCGUUUAUGUCAGUUACCUUAGCUUUCUUGGGAACAGGAACAAUGGUGGCCCUCUUGAAGCAUGUGGGAACUGCAGACUGGGAUAAGGAUUGAUUGAAUAUGUCUGUAAACACACCAGCCAGCUGGUCGGCGCAUGCUCUGAGGAAGCGGCUAGGGAUGCCGUCUGGGCCGGCAGCCUUGCAAGGGUUAACAUGUUUAAAUGUUUUACUCACGUUGGCUGCGGUGAAGGAGAGCCCACAGGUUUUGGUAGCGGGCUGUGUUAGUGGCACUGUAUUGUCCUCAAAGCGAGCAAAGAAGUUGUUUAGUUUGUCUGGGAGGAAGACAUCGGGGCCCGCGACGGGGCUGGUUUUCUUUUUGUAGUCCGUGAUUGACUGUAGACCCUGCCACAUACCUCUUGUGUCUGAGACAUUGAAUUGCGACUCUACUUUGUCUCUAUACUGACGCUUAGCUUGUUUAAUUGCCUUGCGGAGGGAAUAGCUACACUGUUUGUAUUCGGUCAUGUUUUCGGUCGCCUUGCUCUGAUUAAAAGCAGGGGUUCGCAAUUUCAGUUUUGCACGAAUGCUGCCAUCAAUCCACGGUUUCUGGUCAGGGAAGGUUUUAAUGGUCGCUGUGGGUACAACAUCACCGAUGCACUUGCUAAUAAACUCGCUCACCGAAUCCGCGUAUACAUCAAUGUUGUUGUUCGACGCUGUCCGGAACACAUCCCAGUCCACGUGAUCGAAGCAAUCUUGAAGCGUUGAAUCAGAUUGGUCUGACUGGGCAUUGAACAAACCUGAGCACGGGCGUUUCCUGUUUUAGUUUCUAUCUAUAGGCUGGGAGCAACAAAAUGGAGUAGUGGUCAGAUUUUCUGAAAGGAGAGCGAGGGAGGGCUUUGUAUGUGUCGCGGAAGUUAGAGAAACAAAGGUCCAGAUAUGCUGCUAAAAUUUAGGGAGCCUUGUUUUUAGAUGAAUUUUGUUGAAAUCCCCAGCUACAAUAUAUGCAGCUUCAGGAUAUGUCGUUUCCAGUUUACAUAGAGUCCAAUAAAGUUAUUUCAGGGCCGUCGAGGUGUCUGCUUUAUAAUCACGACUGUGAUUCACGACUGUGAUUAUAAUCAAAGACAAUUCUCUUGGUAGAUAAUGCGGUUGGCAUUUGAUUGUAAGGAAUUCUAGGUCAAGUGAACAAAAGGACUUGAGUUCCUGUAUUUUGUUAUGAUCACACCAUGACUCGUUAACCAUAAGGCAUACACCCCCGCCCUUCUUCUUACAAGAGAGAUGUUUGUUUCUGUCGGCGCGAUGCGUGAAGAAACCAGGUGACUGUACCGACUCUGAUAACGUCUCCUGAGUGAGCCAUGUUUCCAUGAAACAGAGAAUGUUAAAAUCUCUGAUGUCUCUCUGGAGGGCAACCCAGCUUUGAUUUCAUCUACCUUGUUGUCAAGAGACUGGACAUGGUUUAGUAGCAUACUCGGGAGCGGUGGGCGAUGUGCCCGUCUACGGAACCUCGGAACCUGACCAGAAGACCGCUCCGUCUGCACCUUCUGCAGCGUCAAUGUUUUGGGUCGCCUGCUGGGAUCCGAUCCAUUGUCCUGGGUGGUGGACCAAACAGAGGAUCCGCUUCGGGAAAGUUGUAUUCCUGGUCAUAAUGUGGAAGGGAACCAUGAAGAGGAGCUUGGAGUGGGCAAGGGGGAGGAUGAUAAAACAGCAGAGAAGACCUGAUUCAUCAAGUAUCAGUUAAUGCUGGUGAUUCUCACCUGGUUGGCAUGCACAACACAAGCAAGACACUUCAAUCCGAAUGUUUGACGUCAGGCAAAACGUCUUCAGCUACCGUAAGGUGGAGAGCAGCUGGUUGGAUUUUUGACUGCAGUGUCUGUGUGGGUGUACCAGGAAAGGACAUUAGAAGUUAGGUCCCCGUGAUAUAUAAGCUUCUUACCAUCCCCACUGUAGCCCAGUCAAUAUCGAUUUUAACAACUGGAACAAUACAUAUCGUGCAGCACAUGGUAGCAAAGAUUUCACCGGACCAACUCCAGUUUACCUAUAGUCCAAAGAAAUGUCAAUUAUACAUUUUUACAUACGUAGGAGUGCAUUUUCAUUUAUAGCUCUGCUUUCAAGACCAUCCUGACCCACAAACUGGUUAGCAGACUAAGGGCUCUGGGUGAAAACCCUGUAAUAACAAAUUCAAUUUUUAACAUUAUCACAAGAAUGUGUAUCCCCAGAAUGGACCAACACCUAAACAUGCUGACGACACUACCAUGGUACACCUGAUCCCCAGUGAUCAUGAGUACAUGAAGAAGCUGUGGGACCUGACAUAAAGGUGAUAGAACAACAGUCUCAGCAUAAGCAAAACAAAGUAGAUGGUGAUACUUGAGCAUUCUCCCAUCCACUGUACAGUCGUGGCCAAAAGCUUUGAGAAUGACACAAAUAUGAAUUUUCACAAAGUCUGCUGACUCAGUUUGUAUGAUGGCAAUUUGCAUAUACUCCAGAACGUUAUGAAGAGUGAUCAGAUUAAUUGCAAUUAAUUGCAAAGUCCCUCUUUGCCAUGCAAAUGAACUGAAUCCCAAAAAUACAUUUCUACUGCAUUUCAGCCCUGCCACAAAAGGACCAGCUGACAUCAUGUCAGUGAUUCCUUCGUUAACACAAGUGUGAGUGUUGACGAGGACAAGGCUGGAGAUCACUCUCCAGUGAGAGGCACAGGGCAAGGAUAUUGCUACCAGUAAGAUUGCACCUAAAUCAACCAGGAAUAUCCUUGCCUGUGAAGCCCUUUUUGUGCAAAGCAAUCAUGACGGCACGUGUUUCCUUGCAGGAAACCAUGAUUGACAGUGGAAAAACAAUGAUUCCAAGCACCACCCUCCUUUUGAAGCUUCCAGUUUGUUAUUCGAACUCAAUCAGCAUGACAGAGUGAUCUCCAUCCUUGUCCUCAUCAACACUCACACCUUUAAGCCUUUAACCAACGAUGCAGUUUUAAAAAAAAUAUUCGGAAAUAAAAGUAAUAAUUAAAGAGCAGCAGUAAAAUAACAAUAGAGAGAGGCUAUAUACAGGGGAUACUGGUACAGAGUCAAUGUGCGGUGGCACCGGUUAGUCGAGUUAAUAUAUACAUGUAGGUAGAGAUCAAGUGACUAUGCAUAGAUAAUAGAGUAGCACCAAAUAAUCUGGGUAGCCAUUCGAUUAGAUGUUCAGUAGUCUUAUGGCUUGGGGGUAGAAGCUUUUUCGAACCCUCUUGGACCUAGACUUGGCGCUAAGGUACCGCUAGCCGUGCAGUAGCAGAUAGAACUGUAGCUGUGGAUCCCACUGGCAAUCCCAGCCUAGGAAUGCUGAAACCCCCGAAGUGAAAAUGAAAACCUUCUCCAUGGUUAAAGGGACAUUAAAGUCCAUAAGUAACACUCAUUGAAGAACAAAAUACUCUAACUGAAAGUCAUUUGGGAUUAAAUAUAUCUAUUAUGUUCUUAUGGGGCCCAUGGAAGAAUAAGGCUAUAAAAUGGCUACCCAACAUGACCGCUUCCUGUGCCUCGUCAACAGUUUGUGCUAACUGGAUCUUAGUUCAAUAAACAGUGCUUUGGGACAAAUUAGCAAAACAACAAACUGAAUAUCCCUUAAAAAAGAUUGCCUGCCAACAAAAGGGAACCAAAUCCAUGUGGGAAAGUAUUCAUGAACAACCACAACCCUAAUAUUUUUUCCAAACUGCAAAUGAACAGCAAAUGAACAGUAACAUAACAUCCAUCACAGUAUAAAGUUACUUACCUUCUCCAACUUCUCUCUGAAGUCAUAUUCCGCAAUUUCUUUCAGUUCUGGCACAGGAGGUUGUAGGCCACACACUUGCCUGUAUAGCCUCUCUGAAAAAUUGUGGCUCUACACCCCCAUGUACCAGACAGCAAUCAUGCGGCCCACCUGCUUGUAUACGCCAUCAUAGAGUGCUGUCACACAGAAGACAAACUGUAAAUAAAGGACACAUUAAAUAACAUGCAAAAAUCAAAUGUCUUACUCAAGUCAUACAUAAUGCCAUAAACACGUGUCUUUGUUGGUGUAAAAGUGUAACUCACCUUGAGAGUUGUAAGAAAGGCUUUUUUGCUAAUCAGGUCCCUCAAAUAUUGCAGAGGAAUGGAUGUUACUCAUUAGCAGUCAAAUCUCUUGAGGGACCACCCUCAUCAGCUGCCCCUUUUCCUUCAGCAUCCCUAAAAACCAUGUCUAUUUUUUCCUCCGGAUUAAAGCGGGCUCUCUUAAAGCCUCUCACUCCACAAACAUAAACGUUGUCCCUCAUCACGUUAAUUUGGUUGGCAUCAGGGACAAAAGCAGAGUCAAUCUUGCUGCUCAUUAACUUCAGCAGUGUUUGGAGGUCAACAAACAAAAAAGAGACAUUCAGAAUAACAAAGCUCACAUACUUCCCACAAUUCAUCUGUAAUAAGGCAUUGAAUUAUUUACAGGGAUGACGUACUCAUUGUCAUCACCAACAUCAACAGAAGAGGGGGGUGAAGUUGGAUGACAAGCCUCAGGGAAUGGUGGAUGGGGGCCACAGGAAGUGGUGCAGAAGAUGUGGGGGGGGCACAGGAAUAGGUUCUGCCACAAGUGUAGCCUUGUUUGUAGAAGUAGUCGGUAAAAGGUCAUUUAAAGGCUUAUACAUUUCAAAAACAUGGAGAAAGCAAUAAAGCUGUCAAACAUGA